rnacentral:rRNA from 1 species
AGACCGAUAGCGAACAAGUAGAGUGAUCGAAAGAUGAAAAGCACUUUGAAAAGAGGGUUAAAUAGCACGUGAAAUUGUUGAAAGGGAAGCGCUUGUGACCAGACUUGCGCCGGGCGGAUCAUCCGGUGUUCUCACCGGUGCACUCCGCCCGGCUCAGGCCAGCAUCGGUUCUCGUGGGGGGAUAAAGGCCCUGGGAACGUAGCUCCUCCGGGAGUGUUAUAGCCCAGGGUGUAAUGCCCUCGCGGGGACCGAGGUUCGCGCAUCUGCAAGGAUGCUGGCGUAAUGGUCAUCAGCGACCCGUCUUGAAACACGGACCAAG